GGAGUCUGGGCCGUGUCUCAGUCCCAAUGUGGCCGUUCACCCUCUCAGGCCGGCUAUGGAUCGUUGCUUUGGUGGGCCGUUACCCCGCCAACCGGCUAAUCCAACGCGGAGCCAUCCUGUACCACCGGAGUUUUUCACACUGUACCAUGCGGUACUGUGCGCUUAUGCGGUUUUAGCAAUCAUUUCUGAUUGUUAUCCCCCUGUACAGGGCAGGUUCUCCACGCGUUACUCACCCGUCCGCCACUAACUUCAAAUAUCCUUCAACCGAAGUCUCAUUCAAUAUGAAGUCCGUUCGACUUGCAUGUGUUAGGCACGCCGCCAGCGUUCAUC
rnacentral:rRNA from 1 species